GGUGAGUAACGCGUAAGAACCUGCCCUUGGGAGGGGAACAACAACUGGAAACGGUUGCUAAUACCCCGUAGGCUGAGGAGCAAAAGGAGAAAUCCGCCCAAGGAGGGGCUCGCGUCUGAUUAGCUAGUUGGUGAGGCAAUAGCUUACCAAGGCGAUGAUCAGUAGCUGGUCCGAGAGGAUGAUCAGCCACACUGGGACUGAGACACGGCCCAGACUCCUACGGGAGGCAGCAGUGGGGAAUUUUCCGCAAUGGGCGAAAGCCUGACGGAGCAAUGCCGCGUGGAGGUGGAAGGCCUACGGGUCGUCAACUUCUUUUCUCGGARAARAAACAAUGACGGUAUCUGAGGAAUAAGCAUCGGCUAACUCUGUGCCAGCAGCCGCGGUAAC
rnacentral:rRNA from 1 species